rnacentral:rRNA from 1 species
CACGUAGGGUGCGAGCGUUGUCCGGAAUUAUUGGGCGUAAAGAGCUCGUAGGCGGUUUGUCGCGUCGGGAGUGAAAUCCACUGGCUUAACUGGUGGCUUGCUUUCGAUACGGGCAGACUGGAGGUAUGCAGGGGAGAACGGAAUUCCUGGUGUAGCGGUGAAAAUGCGCAGAUAUCAGGAGGAACACCGGUGGCGAAGGCGGUUCUCUGGGCAUGUCCUGACGCUGAGGAGCGAAAGUGUGGGGAGCGAACAGG